AUGCGCGGCUCGCACGUGCUCCUGCUACUGGUGGCCUGCUCUUCAUUCCACUGUCACCUCGCCGCCCGCCAUGGCCCGGGGCACGCGCCUGCAGCCGUCGCCGUCGUAGGCUCCGUCCGCCCUGACGACGCGGCCAUGGAUGCUGCUUCUUCAGGCGCCCCGGCCGCCGUCCGGUGCCACGAUGGGACCGUCUGCGGCGAGAAGGGUUUGUUUUUCCCGCCGAUUCCGCUCGUGCCGGAGCCGCCGAACAUUGGAGGCGUGCCCAUCCCGCCGAACCCGAUCAUGCCGGCGCCGCCGUCGCUCGUCCCGCCGGUGUUCCCCGCCCCGUCACCACCGUCCAUCCUGCCGCCGCUCGUCCCGCAGCCGCCGCCUGCUUCGCUGAUACCGCCGGUGCUGCCGUUGCCGUUCCUUCACCCACCGCCUCCGCCGCCGCCGCCGCCGUCCAUCCUACCGCCGUUGCCCCUCCUCCCGCCGUUGAUCCCUGGCGUGCCGCCAGCUUCCUCCUCGAAGAACGGCCGACCGGUGAAACCAUGA
rnacentral:rRNA from 1 species